ensembl:miRNA Mir669c microRNA 669c
CCUCCAUGUAUGUGCAUGUGUGUAUAGUUGUGUGUGGAUGUGUGUAUUUGCAUAUAAAUAACAUACACACACACACACAAGUAAACACAAGUGCACAAACAGACACAGG